AUUCUUCUUUGCUUUGAACAGGUUGUUGAUUAUUCCUUGUGUUGGUAUCUGAUAAAGUUGCAGCAUUAAACGAUCUAGGUGAAGUUGAUGCACUAAAGAAGGCUCUUA